AACGAACGCUGGCGGCAUGCCUAACACAUGCCAGUCGAACGAGACCUUCGGGUCUAGUGGCGCACGGGUGCGUAAAGCGGGGGAAACUGCCCUUAGGCUCGGAAUAACUCCCCGAAAGGGGUGCUAAUACCGGAUAAUGUCCUCGGACCAAAGAUUUAUCGCCUUUGGAUGGGCCCGCGAUGGAUUAGCUAGGUGGUAGGGGAAAAGCCUACCAAGGCGACGAUCCAUAGCUGGUCUGAGAGGAAGAUCAGCCACACUGGGACUGAGACACGGCCCAGACUCCUACGGGAGGCAGCAGUGGGGAAUAUUGGACAAUGGGCGAAAGCCUGAUCCAGCAAUGCCGCGUGAGUGAUGAAGGCCUUAGGGUUGUAAAGCUCUUUUACCCGGGAUGAUAAUGACAGUACCGGGAGAAUAAGCUCCGGCUAACUCCGUG
rnacentral:rRNA from 1 species